GCCUGGGUGGCUUAUUCUGUUAAGCACCUGCCUUUGGCUCAGGUCAUGAUCCUGGAGUCCUGGGAUCAAAUCCCACAUCAGGCU
rnacentral:tRNA from 1 species